AUUGAAUGCUGGCGGCAGGCCUAACACAUGCAAGUCGAGCGGAUGACGGGAGCUUGCUCCUUGAUUCAGCGGCGGACGGGUGAGUAAUGCCUAGGAAUCUACCUGGUAGUGGGGGACAACGUUUCGAAAGGAACGCUAAUACCGCAUACGUCCUACGGGAGAAAGCAGGGGACCUUCGGGCCUUGCGCUAUCAGAUGAGCCUAGGUCGGAUUAGCUAGUAGGUGAGGUAAUGGCUCACCUAGGCGACGAUCCGUAACUGGUCUGAGAGGAUGAUCAGUCACACUGGAACUGAGACACGGUCCAGACUCCUACGGGAGGCAGCAGUGGGGAAUAUUGGACAAUGGGCGAAAGCCUGAUCCAGCCAUGCCGCGUGUGUGAAGAAGGUCUUCGGAUUGUAAAGCACUUUAAGUUGGGAGGAAGGGCAGUAAGCGAAUACCUUGCUGUUUUGACGUUACCGACAGAAUAAGCACCGGCUAACUCUGUGCCAGCCGCCGCCGUAAGAC
rnacentral:rRNA from 1 species